rnacentral:rRNA from 1 species
CGGCACGGGUGAGUAACACGUAUCCAACCUGCCGUCUACUCUUGGCCAGCCUUCUGAAAGGAAGAUUAAUCCAGGAUGGCAUCAUGAGUUCACAUGUCCGCAUGAUUAAAGGUAUUUUCCGGUAGACGAUGGGGAUGCGUUCCAUUAGAUAGUAGGCGGGGUAACGGCCCACCUAGUCAACGAUGGAUAGGGGUUCUGAGAGGAAGGUCCCCCACAUUGGAACUGAGACGCGGCCCAA